rnacentral:rRNA from 1 species
GACGAACGCUGGCGGCGUGCUUAACACAUGCAAGUCGAACGGAAAGGCCCCUUUGUGGGUACUCGAGUGGCUAACGGGUGAGUAACACGUGAGUAACCUGCCCUUGACUUCGGGAUAACUUCAGGAAACUGGGGCUAAUACCGGAUAGGAAUCCUUGCUGCAUGGUGGGGGUUGGAAAGCUUCGGCGGUUUUGGAUGGACUCGCGGCUUAUCAGCUUGUUGGUGGGGUAGUGGCUUACCAAGGCUUUGACGGGUAGCCGGCCUGAGAGGGCGACCGGCCACAUUGGGACUGAGAUACGGCCCAGACUCCUACGGGAGGCAGCAGUGGGGAAUAUUGCACAAUGGGCGGAAGCCUGAUGCAGCAACGCCGCGUGCGGGAUGACGGCCUUCGGGUUGUAAACCGCUUUCAGCAGGGGCGAAGCUUGUGGUGACGGUACCUGCAGAAGAAGCACCGGCUAACUACGUG